UACGAAGGGGGCUAGCGUUGUUCGGAUUUACUGGGCGUAAAGCGCUCGUAGGCGGCUUGGUCAGUUAGGGGUGAAAUCCCAGAGCUCAACUCUGGAACUGCCCUUAAUACUGCCAGUCUAGAGUCCGGAAGAGGUGAGUGGAACUCCUAGUGUAGAGGUGGAAUUCGUAGAUAUUAGGAAGAACACCAGUGGCGAAGGCGGCUCACUGGGCCGGUACUGACGCUGAGGUGCGAAAGCGUGGGGAGCAAACAGG
rnacentral:rRNA from 1 species